rnacentral:rRNA from 1 species
UACGGGGGGGGCAAGCGUUGUUCGGAAUUACUGGGCGUAAAGGGCUCGUAGGUGGCCAACUAAGUCAGACGUGAAAUCCCUCAGCUUAACUGGGGAACUGCGUCUGAUACUGGAUGGCUUGAGUUUGGGAGAGGGAUGCGGAAUUCCAGGUGUAGCGGUGAAAUGCGUAGAUAUCGGGAAGAACACCCGUGGCGAAGGCGGCUCUCUGGAACGCAACUGACGCUGAGACGCGAAAGCGUGGGGAGCAAACAGG